UACGUAGGGUCCGAGCGUUGUCCGGAAUUAUUAGGCGUAAAGGGCUCGUAGGCGGUUCGUCACGUCGGGAGUGAAAACUCGGGAGCUUAACUCCGAGCCUGCUUCCGAUACGGGCAGACUAGAGGUAGGCAGGGGAGAGCGGAACUCCUGGUGUAGCGGUGGAAUGCGCAGAUAUCAGGAAGAACACCGGUGGCGAAGGCGGCUCUCUGGGCCUUACCUGACGCUGAGGAGCGAAAGCGUGGGGAGCGAACAGG
rnacentral:rRNA from 1 species